ACCAGGGCUGCUGCUGCCUGACACAUUGUUAGGAUUGAGCAUCAAACAUCUAGUCAAUGUCUGUGAGAACACAUGGCAUAACAAUGAUCUAUUCUACUAUUUUACCAAAAUAACUAGGUUAAACAUUAUGCAAACAUUCUGCUUCCAGAAAUGGUCUAAAAAAGGCAAUUACAUAACAUCCAUCAGUUUAGACAUUCUGUUUAGGCUAAUCUUUCUCUGAGUCACUUGGUUAAAGAAUUCAAGAGAUGAGUCGGUAUGUAGAAACACUGGUCCAAGAGUUUUAUUUAGCAAGAAACCAACAUGACUUCUGCAAUGGAAUGCAUACCCUCUCCGAGACAGGACGGCGAACUGGUUAAACAGCUUCUGUAUAAAAUCUGAGACGAACACCAUGACUGACAAAGAAGUAAAAACAUUCAUACAACAUUCAAAACGAAAAAAAAAAACUUCUGGUUCAGACUUCAGUCACAGCACUAGAGGAGCCAGAAUGGAUAGAGAGAGGAUGGAGGAAGGGAGAGAGAGAGAGAGAGAGAGAGAGAGGAGGAGAGAGAGAGUAGAUAUUAUGUGGAUUUCCAUUGGGACCUACACAUCAGCCCAGGUGAGUGAGGCUCUCAGAGAUUCAGACGCUACCUUUCCUUCAGAGUAAUUUAACUGUAAAACCUUAAGACUUUACUCUCCCCAGCAAACAGUAGUAAACUCCAGAUUUUUUUAUAAGACCGCACACAGUUUUUUUUAUUUUUUUGCUCCUCAAACUUGAACUAGUGGUUCAAAACACAAUUUCAAGGACUGCGGUUCUAA